CCCAGGCUGGGAAUAGGAGUUCUCCUUAGAGCCGGAGGAGCGCUGAAAUACCUGCAUACACGCCGAGCUCAGCGGGUUUUCCAGAAAACUCUGGCGUUCCCAGAGCUGAUCUGAACCCUUCUUCUGCUGUCAGUUUCCCAGGCACUGAGAUUCGAGUCCCCUCCUGAGUCCGUCUCUAGUCCAGAAGGACAUCAGACCCCCACGGAUGAACAAAGGCAUAAAGGAGAUAAUUAAAAUGGGAUAAAUGCCUUGGAUCUGGAAUAUAUUUGCAAUGGGAAAUACGAGAAGUUGGAUGAAUAUGGAAAUGGUCAGUGGAAUUUUAAAUAUUCACGGAAAGAUUAUCUUACAGGUUCAAGACAUCCUUUAGAUGCAGUUACUCAUUGGAUGAUUGGAGAUUUUGAGUAGGAAGAGAUUGAAAGUCCAUGUGGCUGUCUGUGUCCUAUUGUUAAAUCACUUUUGUGAAAGAAUAUUUAGAAAUAAAUUUCAGAAAAUGGAAACAAACAUUUGUUGGUGCUUUUUAUAAAUUUCCAAUGGAAACAAUCUAUUUCUCACAAGUUUAAAGACGGACAGUUCUGUAAGUAACCAAACAAUGACGAGAAGCUGCCCGGUGUAUUUCUGUGGUUUCAAAAAAGGGCCAAGUCGGAAGGAAAAAACAUUCCCAGCAUUUUCUGAAGCUAGAUAAAUACAGAGAAGAAAUACAGAUGAAACAUGGAACUGCUCUCUAGAACCCCCGCCAGAUUCCUCGACUUUUUGGCAGGCUGAUUGAAUUUGGCAAACGUAACCAGUAGCAAUCUUUUCCAUUAAAAGGAGCAGCAUAUACUUUAUUUUACCAUACUGUUUGUGCAUUUUUGACCCUCCCAAACUGGCUCUCUUUUUUUAGAAGGUGAUUAUUUCUGCAGAGUUGGCUGCAAUUUCAUUUAUUUGAAAUGGAUCAUUUAUCACCAAAAAAGCUGUGGGGCAGAGCUACUGUUGAAGGACUCCGACGGACCUACAGCUCGGCAGGAAAAGCGUCGUUUUCUGAGACCGAGAGAUGCUUUAACGUGUUCCAAGAGCAUCUUAUGCCAACCUAGCGCCUUGAUAGCCAAACGUAUUUAAAUUUGAGGAGUCCUGGACUGUACAGUUUAGACAAGAUAAACUACCCAGUCCUGUCAUUUUCUUUUAUUUGUGAUCAGAAAAAAUGUAAUGUAGCCUGAUGUUCCUAAUUUUGGUGACAUGAUUAGGUUAAGAGAAAGACUGAUUCUCCAGCCUCGAACCUAAAUUCUGUGGACUCCAACAUCCCUUAACCCUAAAUUGUUUCUUAUCUGGCAGUGAUUCUAUUGUAAAGUUAUUAGGAUAUAUGAGUAACAAGCUGUAAAAAUGUCAAGGUCAUGGUUUCCGGCUUCACCCAACUCAGGAAGGGAGGCUCACACCUGAGAGGUCUUUCAUGCACUCAGAUGGAAAUGACUUUUUGUUUUUACCUUUCAUUGGGUUCCUCUAAACUAAACGAAAAUUUAAAAACAUUAGUGUGUUCACCUUUUGCUGUGAAGUUUUUGAACACAACAUGAUGGACAGGUGUUUGGUUUUUAAACAGCCAAAAAUUCAAGCAGCCUUUGGAUAGUUGACAGUGAUUUGGAUAUAGUAUUGUUCUGAUGUUAUUUGCCAUCUUGUGCAUCUUUCUUAAUCAUAAAGUAGCAGCUAAUUUAAAGCAAAGGAAAAGCAUUAGCUUGGUGUGAGUGCCAGAUAAACCCUGUGGUUUCAAUUUACAGUUUGGAGCCAUCAGUGACAGAUAUAAAAAUAAGAAUCUGUAAUUUGCCAAGUUUAAAAUCCCAAAACCAACAUGUGAAUGCUUCACAGGUUUAUAUGUGCAUAAAAUGAAGACUGUUUUGCAUAGGUUUUUAAAUGGUGAAGGAGUGUCUUUUCUUAAACUUAGGUUGACAGUUUAAUAGUUUAAUCACAAAGUAUCUGACAAAAAAAGAGCCAAAAGUUACUGUUUAAAUUUCAGAAUGCUAAAUCCAUACCAGCAGUUGGCAAUAGCUAGAUCUGGAAUAUUUUCAAUAAAAAAUUAUAAAUAAUUACGUCUCACAUUUUAUAAUUUACAUCCAUUUAACUCACAGAGCUUGCCUUGUGAAAGAGUUCUUUAAUAAAAAUAAAAUAAUAAUAAUAAAUAAAGCUGGCCAAAGCUGUUAGCAGGAAUUUAUAAUUUUAACAAACAAGGCACAACAUUUUAGAAGUGUUGGGUAAAAUGCCCUCUAUACGUCUUUGAAAGCCUUGCCAUGAUAAUGUCAUAACAAAAGUAUAUAUAACUCUAAACACCGCCAAUAACAACAUGAUAAUACAGUGAAAUGUCCACUGAGCCAACAACUUCUCAUGUUAGUUGGUCCAGAAAUCUAAACCAUGGCUUCACACAUUCGUGUGCACCUUACACCAUCUUCCCAGCUCACCAGGAAUGCCCUGAACUGUCCCUGCCCCUCACCCCCAGGGGCCGCCUUGGGAGCCAUUUGCUAAGAUACCGCACUGUUUUCUUGUCCACAGCUGAUUGGACUAAGGGUGGGUACUUUUCCCAAACUGGGCCAGUCAGAUUCCUUUCCCUGAGAUUUUUGAAUUGAAAGUGACAAUAAUAUGUGACCUCCCUGGGUGACUGGAGAGGAAACCUAGCAGAAACAGUGGAGACACAUGUGGAGAGACACAGCCAGCCGGCUCACAGAGGAAGAAUAAAAUGAAACAGAUACAGAACGGAAGUGAGGUGACAGAUGAAAGAAGAGAUUCUAAAAAGCGUCUUUAGCUGGUCCUUUCGCCAGCGUCUUCCUAGGGCUCUGCUGUUUUCUGGCCCGUGAGCUCUGUCAAGCGCCCACCUAUCCCCUUUGGUGCCUUAGCUUAUUUGAGUUGUGUUACCUGUAAUUUACUGAACCCUAAUGGACCCUGCAUUCUGUCUGUGGGACACGGGGUACAUCACCGAGACUGCUGAACUAACGCUUCCCAACCUUUAAAAUGGGGACAGUGAUGCCUGUGUCACAGGGUGACUGUGAAUACAGUGAGAGCACCUAGCCCAGCAGGAAACACUAAGUAAGUGGUUUCUGUUUUAAGAAGAGUUUAUGCUGCAAUAUACAUUUUAUAAAAAUAUAUACAGUUAUUCAUAUUAACUAAGUGUUAGUCUAAGAAAAGCACUGCAAUCUCGUAUUCUUGUCUGAUAGUCUAAUAUUUGCUAAUUUUCACUUAAGGGGUGACUCCAAAUUAUUUGGUGAAGUUUAAAAUGAAAAUGGGAAAAAUAAAUGCUGGAGAGGGUGUGAAGAAAAGGGAACCCUCCUGCACUGUUGGUGGGAAUGUAAAUUGAUACAGCCACUAUGGAGAACAGUAUGGAGGUUCCUUAAAAAACUAAUAGAACUACCGUAUGAUCCAGCAAUCCCACUACUGGGCAUAUACCCUGAGAAAACCAUAAUUCAAAAAGAGUCAUGUACCACAAUGUUCAUUGCAGCACUAUUUACAAUAGCCAGGACAUGGAAGCAACCUAAAUGUCCAUCGACAGAUGAAUGGAUAAAGAAGGUGUGGCACAUAUAUACAGUGGAAUAUUACUCAGCCAUAAAAAGAAACGAAAUUGAGUUAUUUGUAGUGAGGUGGAUGGACCUAGAGUCUGUCCUACAGAGGGAAGUAAGUCAGAAAGAGAAAAACAAAUACCAUAUGCUGACACAUAUAUAUGGAAUCUAAAAAAAAAAAAAAAAAAGGUUCUCAUGAACCUCAGGGAAGGACAGGAAUAAAGACGCAGAUGUAGAGAAUGGACCUGAGGACACGGGGAGGGGGAAGGGUAAGCUGGGACGAAGUGAGAGAGUGGCCUGGACAUAUAUACACUACCAAAUGUAAAAUAGAUAGCUAGUGGGAAGCAGCCGCAUAGCACAGGGAGAUCGGCUCAGUGCUUUGUGACCACCUAGAGGGGUGGGAUAGAGAGGGUGGGAGGGAGACGCAAGAGGGAGGAGAUAUGGGGA